rnacentral:rRNA from 1 species
UGCGUAGGCGGAUUAAUAAGUCAGUGGUGAAAUCUUUCGGCUCAACCGAGAAACUGCCAUUGAUACUGUUAAUCUUGAGUUCGGUUGAGGUAGGCGGAAUGUGUAAUGUAGCGGUGAAAUGCUUAGAUAUUACACAGAACACCAAUUGCGUAGGCAGCUUACUAGACCGACACUGCCGCUGAGGCACGAAAGCGUGGGGAGCGAACAGGAUUAGAUACCCUGGUAGUCC